rnacentral:rRNA from 1 species
CCUACGGGAGGCAGCAGUGGGGAAUAUUGGUCAAUGGGCGCAAGCCUGACCCAGCAACGCCGCGUGAAGGAAGAAGGCUUUCGGGUUGUAAACUUCUUUUAAGAGGGAAGAGCAGAAGACGGUACCUCUUGAAUAAGCCACGGCUAACUACGGGCCAGCAGCCGCGGUCAUACGUAGGUGGGAAGCGUUGUCCGGAUUUACUGGGUGUAAAGGGCGUGUAGCCUGGCUGACAAGUCAGAUGUGAAAUCCCGUAGCUCAAACACGGAACUGCAGUUGAAACUGUCGGUCUUGAGUAUCGGAGAGGCAGGCGGAAUUCCUAGUGUAGCGGUGAAAUGCGUAGAUAUCAGGAGGAACUCCAGUGGCGAAGGCGGCCUGCUGGACGACAACUGACGGUGAGGCGCGAAAGCGUGGGGAGCAAACAGGAUUAGAUACCCUGGUAGUC